AGAUCAGGUUAGAAGCCUAGUUCCUCUGCAGGGUCCAGAUGCCUCUGUGGCCAGUCAGUGCCUUUAUUUUAUCCACUGAUUUAACUAGUUUUGCUUGAGCUCAGUUGGGGUUGGGAAAUUCCUGGGCCAGCUGUUCCCUCUGUCCCAUUCUUGUACCUGCCCAUCACACUAGAAGUCCCAAGUGUGUGUGUGGUAUGUAUGUAUGUAUGUAUGUAUGUAUGUAUGCAUGCAUGCAUGCAUGUAUGCAUGUGUGUGUAUAUGUGUAUGGGGGCUGCUAGAUGCAGGGGAGGGAGGAAUAUUCAGGUAAUCAUAGCUGCUUAAAUACCAGGAAUAGUGGGUUGGCUAUGUGGUGUUGUGGUGUUGAGUCAGGGUGGUCCUGGGAGGGACUACCCAGCUACCUUCCUGCCUUUGGGAGACUUGCUUGGCUCUGAGAAGGCAGGGCUAAGAGGUGGGGCUUGAUGCUGAGGGGUGUGGCCAGAAAGGGGUGUGGCUGGAUACUGGUGGACCAGGCAAGGGGUUUAGAGCUAGAAGAUCAGGCAGGAGUGCAGGAGGGAGGAAGAACCAGCUUCACCCACCUAGGAGAUUUCUCCAGCUGCCUUAAGUAUAUGGUUGUAUCUUCUUCUUUGGCUUAGAUGUCUCUUCUUAAUCAGCCCUUUGUGAUAGGACACUUUUACUGUCCUAUGUCACAGACAGGGGGCGGGUAGCUGGUGAAAGAUUAUAGCUGGGUGGCAGGGGUCUCUCCCCUCUGUAUGCAGGCUCAGAGGUGGGAGAUGUUCAGAUCUGGGCAGGGUCAAGCUCAGUGCUCCAGAACUACAGUCAGGGCAGAAAGGGAGCAAGGGAGGGCAGUGGCAGAGGCAGUCCCAUGAAACUGGAGCCCUGCUGGUCUUCUAGCAAAUGCUCCUAGCACCCACUGGACACCAGGGCCUCGAUAAGGGGACAAAGGCACAGCUCUGGGGACAAAUACUUAUGGGUAUUGUCAGCCCAGCCGCUAGAGAGCCAAGGAGAGGCCCACAAAGGGCCCGAAGAAAGGGCCUCGGGAGGGGCUGCAAAUGGGCCUUCCCGCACAUGCCACCGUUGCCCGGGCGACGGCCCUCUCAUGGAGAGGUCUGCUGGGCCAUUGUCCAGGGCCUGCAGGACGUGUCACACACCAGAUGGUCGUGUGCUGUCUAGGUCACUUAUAGGGGGACAGAGUGAAGGAAUGUGGCCAGCUCGGCAGGCCGGGGCACCAUCUGUUCCUUCAGACCAUGGGCAUCAGGCGGGCAUUGAGCGUCCGGCCUGCCAGGCCCAGCCUUCUCCCCGGCUUUAAUUAGGUAAUUCCAUAAUUGGGCUUUAUUUCAGGUAAAUUGCAUUUCACACCCGAGAGGGCUGCAAUGGUCCUUGCGGGAGAACAGCACUUGGCCACUCUACACAGUCCAUAACACGGCACCGAGGCCGGCAGGGAGCAGGGACCGUGUCUUACCCAGAUGGAUGGCCUUCAGCUCCCAGUGGGCUGUAGCCUGCCUGGGCAAUACUGAGGGCCCUGGCUAUAGCCAGCCACAGCCUGGGGCUUCCACAAAUAUUUACCCAACAAGGAAACAACAGCUUCUGCCUUCCAGCAAUUGUUGCUGCAGAACCCCCCUUGAGGGGGGUUGAGGCCGGGAAGCCUGAGGCCUCAGCUGCCUUUCCACCCUUCCCUUCAAAAGCUGGCCAGUGCUUGUUAGACCCGACACUAAGACCUUGUGGAGGGAGCUGCUACCUAAGAAAUUCAGAAGUGAAAGUCUUAGGGCCUUGGGAGCUGGCCCUGGAAAAGAAGCACUCUUGAAUGUGUCACCAGUGAGAGCCAUCUUGGCUGGAAAGGACAGAUGA
rnacentral:lncRNA from 1 species